UACGUAGGGGGCAAGCGUUGUCCGGAUUCAUUGGGCGUAAAGAGCGUGUAGGCGGCCAGGUAGGUCGGUUGUGAAAACUGGAGGCUCAACCUUCAGAGGUCGAUCGAAACCAUCUGGCUAGAGUCCGGGAGAGGAGAGUGGAAUUCCUGGUGUAGCGGUGAAAUGCGCAGAUAUCAGGAAGAACACCCGUGGCGAAGGCGCUCUACUGGACCACAACUGACACUCAGGGACGAAAGCUAGGGGAGCGAAUGGG
rnacentral:rRNA from 1 species